GGUCAAGUUAUUAAGGGUGCAGGGCGGAUGCCUUGGCACUAGGAGCCGAUGAAGGACGUGAUAAGCUGCGAUAAGCUUCGGGGAGUUGCACGUAAACUUUGAUCCGAAGAUUUCCGAAUGAGGAAACUCACUUAGAGUAAUGUCUAAGUAUCAUUAAGUGAAUACAUAGCUUAAUGAGGGGAACUCAGGGAACUGAAACAUCUAAGUACCUGAAGGAAGAGAAAGAAAUUCGAUUCCGUAAGUAGCGGCGAGCGAACGCGGAUUAGCCCAAACCAAUAAAGUUUUCUUUAUUGGGGUUGCGGACAUAUCAUAACGAAGAGGUAUCGUAAUUGAAGAGGUUUGGAAAGACCCACCACAGAAGGUAAUAGUCCUGUAUGUUAAACGAGAAGACUUUAGAUAUGAUCCAGAGUACCACGGGACACGUGAAACCCUGUGGGAAGCAGGAGGGACCACCCUCCAAGGCUAAAUACUACCUAGUGACCGAUAGCGUAUAGUACCGUGAGGGAAAGGUGAAAAGAACCCCGGGAGGGGAGUGAAAUAGAACCUGAAACCCUGCACUUACAAGCUGUGGAAGCACAUUUCUUGUGUGACCGCGUACUUUUUGUAGAACGGGCCAACGAGUUACGUUAAGUAGCAAG
rnacentral:rRNA from 1 species